rnacentral:rRNA from 1 species
GAUGAACGCUGGCGGCGUGCCUAACACAUGCAAGUCGAGCGAUUGUCUUCGGAGAAGAGCGGCGGACGGGUGAGUAACGCGUGGGUAACCUGCCCUGUACACACGGAUAACAUACCGAAAGGUAUGCUAAUACGAGAUAAUAUGCUUUUAUCGCAUGGGAGAAGGCUCAAAGCUUUUGCGGUACAGGAUGGACCCGCGUCUGAUUAGCUAGUUGGUAAGGUAACGGCUUACCAAGGAGACGAUCAGUAGCCGACCUGGGAGGUUGAUCGGCCACAUUGGAACUGAGACACGUUCGAAACUCCUACGGGAGGCAGCAGUGGGGAAUAUUGCACAAUGUGCGAAAGCCUGAUGCAGCAACGCCGCGUGAGCGAUGAAGGCCUUCGGGUCGUAAAGCUCUGUCCUCAAGGAAGAUAAUGACGGUACUUGAGGAGGAAGCCCCGGCUAACUACGUGCCAGCCGCCGCAGUAA